rnacentral:tRNA from 2 species
GCUCCCUUCGUCUAGCGGUCAGGACGUCGGCCUCUCACGCCGAAAACAGGGGUUCGAUUCCCCUAGGGAGCGCCA